AACGAACGCUGGCGGCAUGCCUAACACAUGCAAGUCGAACGAGACCUUCGGGUCUUGUGGCGCCCGGGUGCGUAACGCGUGGGAACCUGCCCUUAGGUUCGGAAUAACUCUCCGAAAGGGGUGCUAAUACCGGAUAAUGUCUUCGGACCAAAGAUUUAUCGCAUUUGGAUGGGCCCGAGUUGGAUUAGCUAGUUGGUAGGGUUAUAGCCUACCAAGGCGACGAUCCAUAGCUGGUCUGAGAGGAUGAUUAGCCACACUGGGACUGAGACACGGCCCAGACUCCUACGGGAGGCAGCAGUGGGGAAUAUUGGACAAUGGGCGAAAGCCUGAUCCAGCAAUGCCGCGUGAGUGAUGAAGGCCUUAGGGUAGUAAAGCUCUUUUACCCGGGAUGAUAAUGACAGUACCGGGAGAAUAAGCUCCGGCUAACUCCGUG
rnacentral:rRNA from 1 species